GUUUAAAUCAUUUGAAAAACGUAUCCAAACAAUAUUAAAUCAAGGCCUACGUAAGUACAAAGAAAUAAUGUUAUAAAAUGUUUUGUUUCCAAAAUCAUCUUCAUCUUCCCAGGAUGCAGUGUGGAUAUGAGUGGAUCCCAGUGAAUUCAGGGUGGUGUGGCCAAAUCCUAUUUGCAAUGGUAUAUAUAACGGUAGACAACAUACAAGAUUCACUCAUUCACUAAACAGCAAUUUCGAGUCUGACAGAUUGUAAUAGUUUUAUUUAGAAACAUCUCACCUAGGCAAAAAGUAUGGGGGUUUAGUUACAUUAUAUGAUCAUAUAUUGCAUACGCAUUCCACAACAUCAAUGUACCCCAUUUUUGGCAGGUCCUACUCUAGCAACUUAUUGCCGCCUCUUAUGAGAUGAAUCCAUGCAAUGUCUGAAUGUAUGAUGGUAUACUGUAACAAAUUAUUUUUUGCCUAGGUGAGGUGUUUAAACCCCCCCCCCAAAAAACUAUUACAUUUUGUUAGACUUGAAAUCGCUGUUUAGUGAAUGAAUGAGUGCGCAGGAUUUUGUAUGUUG